AGCCCUUGUUAUUCGCGCAUCGCUUGCACAGUCUGAAGCCGGUGUGCGUGUGACAGCGGCUGU
rnacentral:pre_miRNA from 1 species